CCAAGAUUACAACAUUUCCGUAACAUGCAGCAAAGCCAGGGGACCUGGCACACGAUUCAGCUCACAAAGAUCCGUGACGAAUGUUAAACACCCCCAGCGCCUCCCCGCAGCCAGCGCUGCCUCGCACAGCUCACUCUGCUCCAUUUCUCUUGGCUUUUUUUUCUUUCCUUUCCUCCCCCCCCUCCACGAGGUUGGCCCCAUUUUGACAAUAAAAAUACAUUUCCCAGAA